GUGGGGAAUUUUGGACAAUGGGCGAAAGCCUGAUCCAGCCAUGCCGCGUGCAGGAUGAAGGCCUUCGGGUUGUAAACUGCUUUUGUACGGAACGAAAAGACUCCUUCUAAUAAAGGGGGUCCAUGACGGUACCGUAAGAAUAAGCACCGGCUAACUACGUGCCAGCAGCCGCGGUAAUACGUAGGGUGCAAGCGUUAAUCGGACUUACUGGGCGUAAAGCGUGCGCAGGCGGUUAUAUAAGACAGAUGUGAAAUCCCCGGGCUCAACCUGGGAACUGCAUUUGUGACUGUAUAGCUAGAGUACGGUAGAGGGGGAUGGAAUUCCGCGUGUAGCAGUGAAAUGCGUAGAUAUGCGGAGGAACACCGAUGGCGAAGGCAAUCCCCUGGACCUGUACUGACGCUCAUGCACGAAAGCGUGGGGAGCAAACAGGAUUAGAAACCCCUGUAGUCC
rnacentral:rRNA from 1 species